rnacentral:lncRNA from 1 species
GGGUAUAUGUGAAAAUUUUAGUAUGACCACAUUCGUGGAGGAUAGGUCUACCAAGAAAGUCAAUUUAAGGGACAUGCAGUUCCUUAAAAGUUUUAGUAAUUGAUUUGUUUGCCUUUGUGUUAACAAAAAUAUAUUUGGAAGGUGCUUAGUUUGGGAGAAUGGAGGUCUGAAAUAGAUGACUUUCAUUUUAACUGUUUGGUUGGAGGG